UACCUCUGAACCAGGUCAUAGAUGAUCUGAUAUUAACAUGUAGACCCUGUCUGAAUCUGUCACAUUUUGCUUCCUCAGAAGGCAAUAUAUCUGAAACAAAGCAAUAAAGAUCUUCAAACUUUUCAACAUACUCUCUUAUUGAGAGGCUUUCCUGAAACAACCUGAAAAAGGCAUCCUGUUUUCCUUUCCUGUAACUAUCUGACAAAUAUUCCUGGCGAAAUUCAUGAAUAAAUUGAUCCCAAGUCAGUCUGACUCCAUGUCUGCGACGGAUGCCAUCGAACCAAGCAUCAGCCUUACCCUGAAGCAAACCAUGUACAUUAUCUACCUUUUCUGGAUCAGUCAACUUCAUUAAUUCAAACACUUUUAGCACUUUCUUUAACCAUUUAUCUGCAAUGUCAACAUCAGAGGAACCCUCAAAAUCAUAAGCUCCCAAACGUCUAGCACGAUCCACUAUCUCCCACGGAUCUUUAGGUUUGGCUGUAACAGCUGCUGUAAC
rnacentral:lncRNA from 1 species